rnacentral:rRNA from 1 species
AACGAACGCUGGCGGCAUGCCUAACACAUGCAAGUCGAACGAAACCUUCGGGUCUAGUGGCGCACGGGUGCGUAACGCGUGGGAACCUGCCCUUAGGUUCGGAAUAACUCCCCGAAAGGGGUGCUAAUACCGGAUAAUGUCUUCGGACCAAAGAUUUAUCGCCUUUGGAUGGGCCCGCGUUGGAUUAGCUAGUUGGUAGGGUAAAAGCGUAUCAAGGCGACGAUCCAUAGCUGGUCUGAGAGGAUGAUCAGCCACACUGGGACUGAGACACGGCCCAGACUCCUACGGGAGGCAGCAGUGGGGGAUAUUGGACAAUGGGCGAAAGCCUGAGCCAGCUAUGCCGCGUGAGUGAUGAAGGCCUUAGGGUUGUAAAGCUCUUUUACCCGGGAUGAUAAUGACAGUACCGGGAGAAUAAGCUCCGGCUAACUCCGUG